CUGACUCUUAAUCACUUACUCAAAUCCUGUUUAUUAUACUUUGAUGAUGAUGUCAGUGAUGUCGAAAUGUCAGUUUAUAAUAUCGCUAAUUUUUAUUAUUAAAUUUAUAACAAGUUUUAAUCAAAUAAAACUAAUUAAUUAUAAGAAAAAAAACCUCUGCAAACCAAAAACGGCCAUCACUUCCAUACUACUUGAAAAAUACUAUUAAAAAUUCAAUAGUUUUUUUUUUAACUAAUGAUAAGUUCAGCUGAUACACUUCUCAAAAGACAAGGUUAAUGAUGAGGAAAUAAAAAUAUUCUCACUUUUAUACGUUAUCUAUAAUACUAUUUGAAUCGUCACCAAAUGAAUCACUGUGAUGCUCACAUACAGCAUAUUUCUGACUGGGUUGUGGGCAAGCUGGAGCUGACUAUGGGUGAGAGGUGGGGUACACCCUGGACAAGUCGCCAGAUUAUCGCAGGGCUGUGUGCCAAUCUCCUCCACCACCACCACUUUUCUUUAGAAGAUUUUCCACUUUUCCCAAAUACAUAUUUUUUUUUUCUUUUUUUGUAUCUUCAUCAUACCAGACAUGACAAAUCUUGCAGCCAACAAUUUUUCCACCAGUGAUAUCAUGGAUGACUUUCCAGGGCACUCCCCUCUAAAUCUGCAAACUCAGAACCAUGAGAUCUUAAUUUCCUUUCAAGUUUAUUGCAUUCUUUUUCUGAAGCUUGUCUGCCAAUCUUUUAAAAAUUUCUUCCUUAAUUUGGGUCAUUUUUUUCUGUUUUUGUUUUCUUCUCAAAUUGAUUACCAGUUCUACUAACUUUUUUUUUUCUUUUGUCUCCUGGAGGAGAAUCGAGGUGAUCCAUGACAUCAUUUUUCUUUGCCAAGGUGUGCUGUAUAAAAUCUUGACAUCCAUAAGCCAGUGAGUAAUUUCGCAAUCAACCCCAAGACCUGGAAUUCUACUCGUGCAAGUGGAGGCUGGUAAUCACGGAGAACUGAUGCUUGCAAACCACCACAGGAGAUAACAGCUUCAUGUAAAAGUUUCAGAAAAACGUCCUCAUAAUGGAAGUUUCUCUGAUAUGUUGAACAUCAUGUGGAGAUGAUUUCCCCACUAGCAUGGCCCUUUGGAAGGCCAGCACUAUGCAAAGCACUGAUGAACCCUUUUGGGUCACCUGACUGUCUUUGCAGCAAAACUUGUUGGUUGCUAGAAUGAGUGAUAGUCAUUACCAUAGAGUUUUAUUGUUUGUUUGUUUUACAAUACAGGUAGUCGUCGACUUACGACUGUGUUUGGUUACGACCGACCGAUCGUAAACCGAUCUGGUCGUAAGUCGGCCUAUGUUAAAUGAACGUAAGUAUAUUGUGACGUGUAAUGAUAUUGUAAUCAUCUUAAAGUCUUAUUUUAUCAACA